rnacentral:rRNA from 1 species
UACGAAGGGGGCUAGCGUUGUUCGGAUUUACUGGGCGUAAAGCGCACGUAGGCGGAUCUUUAAGUCAGAGGUGAAAUCCCAAGGCUCAACCUUGGAACUGCCUUUGAUACUGGGGAUCUUGAGUCCGGGAGAGGUGAGUGGAACUGCGAGUGUAGAGGUGAAAUUCGUAGAUAUUCGCAAGAACACCAGUGGCGAAGGCGGCUCACUGGCCCGGUACUGACGCUGAGGCGCGAAAGCGUGGGGAGCGAACAGG